UGAAACAGACGAGGUAGCAAUUUCACCAGCAAGCACUGACAGAGCAACAGGCACUAAUGGUCUUUCUUGGAAGAAUUUUGACUUAGCAAGCAAACUGCAUGAUCUACGAGAUGAAUUUGAUGAGGCGAUUAGAAUAACGAAAAAUUCCUUCAAAUCAACUGAUGUACCAAAAAUCAUUGACUACCUCAAUAUGCACACAAUGUCAUUACUUGGUCCUAAAAA